rnacentral:rRNA from 1 species
UCGCUGUGAAGAUGCAGUGUACCCGCGGCAAGACGGAAAGACCCCGUGAACCUUUACUAUAGCUUGACACUGAACAUUGAGCCUUGAUGUGUAGGAUAGGUGGGAGGCUUAGAAGUGUGGACGCCAGUCUGCAUGGAGCCGACCUUGAAAUACCACCCUUUAAUGUUUGAUGUUCUAACGUUGACCCGUAAUCCGGGUUGCGGACAGUGUCUGGUGGGUAGUUUGACUGGGGCGGUCUCCUCCUAAAGAGUAACGGAGGAGCACGAAGGUUGGCUAAUCCUGGUCGGACAUCAGGAGGUUAGUGCAAUGGCAUAAGCCAGCUUGACUGCGAGCGUGACGGCGCGAGCAGGUGCGAAAGCAGGUCAUAGUGAUCCGGUGGUUCUGAAUGGAAGGGCCAUCGCUCAACGGAUAAAAGGUACUCCGGGGAUAACAGGCUGAUACCGCCCAAGAGUUCAUAUCGACGGCGGUGUUUGGCACCUCGAUGUCGGCUCAUCACAUCCUGGGGCUGAAGUAGGUCCCAAGGGUAUGGCUGUUCGCCAUUUAAAGUGGUACGCGAGCUGGGUUUAGAACGUCGUGAGACAGUUCGGUCCCUAUCUGCCGUGGGCGCUGGAGAACUGAGGGGGGCUGCUCCUAGUACGAGAGGACCGGAGUGGACGCAUCACUGGUGUUCGGGUUGUCAUGCCAAUGGCACUGCCCGGUAGCUAAAUGCGGAAGAGAUAAGUGCUGAAAGCAUCUAAGCACGAAACUUGCCCCGAGAUGAGUUCUCCCUGACCCUUUAAGGGUCCUGAAGGAACGUUGAAGA